GAGUUCAUCACUUCAUCUUAUUUUCCAAAUGAAAAUGGACCGCUACACAAAUGAAUUCUCAAGGACCAAAAAUAAAACUAACUAGUUUACACGUUCUUUAUGCCCAACUUUUGGCAACAAAAGCAAAAACCCAUCAAAUUAAUACCCAAUUAUACAAAUUAAAAGAUGAAAUUAAGAAACUAAUUACUAAUUAUAAUGAAUGGAUGACGUCAGUCAGAUGUGGCAACCACAGCAAAGGUAGAAGAAGCAGAGCGUGGAGACCAGAACGACAACCUCCACAGCAGAGAGAACCUUGAAGACGACGUCGUCUACAAUGGUCGUCUGAAAAUCCAGACGCUUCCAUUUGAACACUGAGAAUUUCCUUGGCCACAGCUCUUUGCUAAUCACCUUCUUUAACGACCAAACGGCCUUCUCCUUCUUUGAAUUCUUUUCCGACUUAUUUUCCAUCACAAUAUGUACAAACUCUCUCUCUCUCUCUCUCUCUCUCUCUCUCUAAAACGUUGUCGUAUUUCAUGCAAUUGGUAUGCUGAGAGGGAGAAGUGUGAGCUGAUGGUAUAUAUAGAAAUGGAGGGAAGGGUUAGAGGCAGAGCUUUGGUUUCUUCAAAAAGAAAAGAAGGUGUUGG
rnacentral:lncRNA from 1 species